CCGUACAAUAAUAUGUUCCAACCACUAAUCGUGUAAAUCUAAAUAGGAUGGAGGUCCAAGGUGGUCGCACCCCAGGUGCGGAAUUGGGCCUAGGUGUUGGGUCCCAAAACUAAUGAUUCAGAAACCGACAUAUUUAACUGUAUCAAGCCCUGAAUCGGUAGAUUGAUACAGGUUCAACAAUCUGGAUCUUUAUCGCAUACAUUUGGUCAAGACUCCAAAGGAGAUAUAUUUAUAUAAAAUAAUAGGACAUUUACAAAUUUGUGGCUAACUAUUACAGCAGAAGCUAUACUGUGACCCAAUUCUGCCGUUUUACUAUAGAAUUAAACCGUCUAACUAUACUAGACUUGAAGACUAGUUUUAAAGGAAACUAACUUAUGUGAUUGAACUCCCAGCUUCGGCAAAAACUCCAAAUAGACUCUGAAAAAGAGGGGUUGAAGUAAGGAUAAGUACAACGUACUAAGCAAGCUAUUAUAUUAUUCAACAAUGAAUGCAUGAGAGGUAAUAUCUGUGUAGAGCUAGAUUUACUUGCAGAAAGCAGAGAAUAUAGAAGUAGAAAACCUGUAAUGUUUUAAAUGCAGAAGUAUUUAAUAAAAUUUCAAAUUAGGUUUCUAUCCAAGAUGCCAUAGUGAGUCCCAAUGCCCGAUAACCGCGAGCACGGCUAUUUGAAUAGUUUUGAGGAUAUUCAUACUGCAGUAGAUGUACGCUUUACCCGCAAUCCAUGACGUGCCAAACACAUUAGCCUUGUUAUGGCAAAGCUUUUCGGUUACUAACAUCAGUGGUACCUGUUCCAUGAACUAUAAUCCCCAUACGCUCUGAACGUAACAUUAUCAGCAGUGAGAGGAGUUAUGGCGUUCCCGGGGUCUUUAGAGAGAUCUGAUUGUAUGACACCAUGUCAUCGCAAUCAGGGUUCACAAACAAGUCACAUGACAUCAUAAUUUAUCUCAAACAAAUAUUUACCUGCGCCUCGGUAAAUAUCACAAUAUUGCCCUUCGCGGCAUAAAUUUGCCUCCUGCGCGAGGACUUAAAUAAGAACCACUACACAGAGGUACCACCUUUGCUAGAUAACUUAAUCAGCUAGGUCUAUGCCCAUACGAGAAUUGCGGUCGUACUCGUAUGUUCUUCACAUGUACUUGGUAGUCUUAUGUCGGUUGGAACAGUACUAGCCACCCGGAAAUCAACCAUUUCUACCGUACUGUCCCAAUCUAAGUUCAUUAUAUUUUAUGCAGUCUAACUAGGCAGGGCUAAGCAAAAGCUAGCAUAUCUGGUUUGCUAUGUUCAGGUUAUGCAUUUGAAAUCAUGUAUGACUAAUGCAUAGAAUAGAGAUAUAAGAAUAUAUGAUCAUUAUGCUCAAAGGGGAGGAAUAAUAACUUGCCUUGCUCUAACGCAAAUAAAUCCAAGAUAGGCAACCUGAUUAUCCGAUUCUCGAAAUACCAAAGGUUGUCAUCCAAAACACAAUAAACUCUACUGAGAAAGAGGAAGAACCAAAUUCAAUAAAAGCCAUAAAAUAAUAAGAAAACGAUAAACAGCUUAAGAGGGCUAGGGUUUAAGGUAUAACCUAUCUCUUUUGUAGGGCAUAGGGAUUACUGGGCUAAUAUUUUAUGUGGAGGUUCUAGAGGGUUGGAGGCUAAGGUAAAGAGGGAAUCAAGCAACUAAUGUUGCUUAUAUUUUAUGUGAAGGCUCUCGUGAUUUGGAUGAUAGGAAAUAUACUGGAUAGUUGAUAUGGUUAAAUAGGUAUGUGGCUAAUAUGGGUCAAGGUUGGGCUUUUGUAGAAUAGUGGCUAGGGUUUAGUUGUUUAGGCCGAUAUCGAGGUAGGAUAAAUAUCGGCUAGGGUUUUAGGUGUUUGCUAGUCGUCGCUAGAGUUGGACAACAUAACGACUAGAUUUGGUACCAUUUCUAGCCGGUGUCGAUAGACAGCAUAUCGGCUAGAAGAAUAGGAGGUGGGUGCAGGUUUAGUGGGGUGGAAGUGUUACUCCGACAACCAUGAGUGGCGGCGGAGCGGCUAGGGUCACACAAAGCUCGAGAGUUAACUGUGCGGCGUGCAAUGGAGGUCGAGAGGAUAGUGAAGCUCCGACCGCUAUACGCAUCAAGGUGUGGGGUGCCAGGAGCAGCACUUCGACCUUGGGUUUGGUUUUUGCCGGGCUUUACAACCAACGGUCCGACGUAGAGGUUCGUAGACCGCGCGAACGUCCCCAUGGAAGGCGUAAAGUUCCAACCGAUGGCCUUUAAGUGGCUAAAGGGUAUUUUGGAGAUAAAAGAAAAUAUUUGAAAAGCAAAUAUAAGUUUAAGUUGUAAAUUCAAUCAUAAGAUUAAAUCAAAUAUUUAUUCAAAUGGUAUUUGAAUAAAUUAAGGAAAUUCAAAUAAAAUAUUAAAAUAGCAAAUUUGGUAUGAAAAUGAAGAGUUUGAAUUUAGAUGAAUUUAGGUCCAAAUUUCACUAGAAUCGGAUCUACAGUUUAGGAGAUAUGGGCUUCUAAAGAUUGGAUUUUGAGUUAAAUAAAGAAAAGCGAAAUAGUACUGUGCAGGGGCCCACCUGUCAGUAUCUUUUCUUUUUCUUUUUCUCCUUCUUCCUCCCGUCUCUUCCUUCUUUUCUCCUCUUUCCAGCACGAGCAGCAGAGGAGAAGGAGAGG
rnacentral:lncRNA from 1 species